AUUGAACGCUGGCGGCGUGCCUAACACAUGCAAGUCGAGCGGUAACAGGUGUAGCAAUACAUGCUGACGAGCGGCGAACGGGUGAGUAAUGCUUCGGAAUCUGCCCAUGUAGUGGGGAAUAACCAGCCGAAAGGUUGGCUAAUACCGCAUACGACCCUUGCCCACAAGGCAAAGGUGAAAGCAGGGGAUCGCAAGACCUUGCGCUAUUGGAUGAGCCGAAGUCGGAUUAGCUAGUUGGUAGGGUAACGGCCUACCAAGGCGACGAUCCGUAGCUGGUCUGAGAGGACGACCAGCCACACUGGGACUGAGACACGGCCCAGACUCCUACGGGAGGCAGCAGUGGGGAAUAUUGGACAAUGGGGCAACCCUGAUCCAGCGACGCCGCGUGUGUGAAGAAGGCCUGCGGGUUGUAAAGCACUUUUAGUGGGGA
rnacentral:rRNA from 1 species